rnacentral:rRNA from 1 species
GACAGAGGUGCCAAGCGUUAGGCGGAAUCACUGGGCGUAAAGGGUGCGUAGGCGGCGCGGUAAGUCGGGUGUGAAAUCUCGGAGCUUAACUCCGAAACUGCAUUCGAUACUGCCGUGCUUGAGGACUGGAGAGGAGACUGGAAUUUACGGUGUAGCGGUGAAAUGCGUAGAUAUCGUAAGGAAGACCAGUGGCGAAGGCGGGUCUCUGGACAGUUCCUGACGCUGAGGCACGAAGGUCAGGGGAGCAAACGGG